UUGAUGUUUCCGGGGGUCGGUGUAAUUCCGAACCGGCGGUUAAAGUCCGCGACCCAAAUGAAAUUCAUUUGGUUGAUUUGGUGAAAUUCCAAAACCGACAGUUAAAGUCUGGAUAAAGGAACAUCUA
rfam:Actinobacterium SCGC AAA027-L06 A27L6_contig00005, whole genome shotgun sequence.